GUAAAUUUCAAAUCUUCAGAGCCGCAUCAACGGUCGAGGAGGUUAACGUUAAAGGCAAGAGGAGUGAUUCACAACUGUGGAGACACUUUGAAAGUGAGCACUGGAUGCUGAGUAUUGAAGGCGAGGUGGUGUGUGAGGGCACUCAGCCCAGUUUCCUGUCCGGCCUUGCCACUCUGUUUGCUGCUUAUUACUAGUUUAAUCUUGAGUAUCAGGAGGAAGCAGUGUGUACCUUGGAGUUCAUUCAAAGGUGCUUUGUGGGCAUAAAUCCAGAGAGAGGAUCCAAAGCCAAGGGAAAAGUG